UACAGAGGAUGCAAGCGUUAUCCGGAAUGAUUGGGCGUAAAGCGUCUGUAGGUGGCUUUUUAAGUCCGCCGUCAAAUCCCAGGGCUCAACCCUGGACAGGCGGUGGAAACUACCAAGCUGGAGUACGGUAGGGGCAGAGGGAAUUUCCGGUGGAGCGGUGAAAUGCGUAGAGAUGUGGAGGAACACCGAUGGCGAAGGCAGCCCCCUGGGUCAAGAUUGACGCUCAUGCACGAAAGCGUGGGGAGCAAACAGG
rnacentral:rRNA from 1 species